AGAUCGUUUUGAUCCGUUUGGUUUAUCUCAAGCAAAUUCUAAUCAAGCUCCUUCUAUGGACAGGAUGUUGUCUUUAUGAUAGAGAAUAGUAAUUUGUGAUUCGUCAUAGCUCUGGUACGUAACUCACGCUACCUUUUGAAAACUUCAUGAAAAUACAAAUUCAACCAAGAUUCGACAUUUUAGCUUUUUAAAGGAUCUUAAAAGAAAUGUUGGAAAAGUGAUUGUUAAAAUCGAAAAGUCGCAGAAUUAUUUCGAAAAUUAUGGUGUGCUAUGAACUGAAAGGAGCGCCUCAUGUUAUGAUGUUGAACAAUUCACGUCACCAAGGAGAACUGAGUGAAAAAGUUAAUUUGAAAGAUCAUUUGCGAUGAAGUAAACGAGAACUGUAAAGACAGCCAAGUUAACUUUUUAAAAUUUUUAUUAUACUUCAUUUAUAUUUCAU